GAUGAACGCUGGCGGCGUGCUUAACACAUGCAAGUCGAACGAAGCACUUCAAUCGAUUUCUUCGGAAUGAAGUUUUAGUGACUGAGUGGCGGACGGGUGAGUAACGCGUGGGUAACCUGCCUUAUACAGGGGGAUAACAGUUGGAAACGACUGCUAAUACCGCAUAAGCGCACGGUAUCGCAUGAUACAGUGUGAAAAACUCCGGUGGUAUAAGAUGGACCCGCGUCUGAUUAGCUUGUUGGUGAGGUAACGGCCCACCAAGGCGACGAUCAGUAGCCGGCCUGAGAGGGUGAACGGCCACAUUGGGACUGAGACACGGCCCAAACUCCUACGGGAGGCAGCAGUGGGGAAUAUUGCACAAUGGGGGAAACCUUGAUGCAGCGACGCCGCGUGGAGGAAGAAGGUCUUCGGAUUGUAAACUCCUGUUGUUGGGGAAGAUAAUGACGGUACCCAACAAGGAAGUGACGGCUAACUACGUG
rnacentral:rRNA from 1 species